AUUGAACGCUGGCGGCAGGCCUAACACAUGCAAGUCGAGCGAGCGGCGGACGGGUGAGUAAUGUCUGGGAAACUGCCUGAUGGAGGGGGAUAACUCCUGGAAACGGGAGCUAAUACAGCAUACCAUCAGAUGUGCCCAGAUGGGAUUAGCUAGUAGGGGGGGUAACGGCUCACCUAGGCGACGAUCCCUAGCUGGUCUGAGAGGAUGAUCAGCAACACUGGAACUGAGACACGGUCCAGACUCCUACGGGAGGCAGCAGUGGGGAAUAUUGGACAAUGGGCGAAAGCCUGAUCCAGCCAUGCCGCGUGUGUGAAGAAGGUCUUCGGGUUGUAAAGCACUUUAAGUUGGGAGGCGUUACCAACAGAAUAAGCACCGGCUAACUUCGUGCCAGCAGCCGCGGUAAUAC
rnacentral:rRNA from 1 species